CUCUAGUGACCGAUAGUGAACCAGUACCGUGAGGGAAAGGUGAAAAGCACCCCGGAAGGGGAGUGAAAUAGAACCUGAAACCGUGUGCUUACAAGUAGUCAGAGCCCGUUAAUGGGUGAUGGCGUGCCUUUUGUAGAAUGAACCGGCGAGUUACGAUUUGAUGCAAGGUUAAGCAGUAAAUGUGGAGCCGUAGCGAAAGCGAGUCUGAAUAGGGCGUUUAGUAUUUGGUCGUAGACCCGAAACCAGGUGAUCUACCCUUGGUCAGGUUGAAGUUCAGGUAACACUGAAUGGAGGACCGAACCGACUUACGUUGAAAAGUGAGCGGAUGAACUGAGGGUAGCGGAGAAAUUCCAAUCGAACCUGGAGAUAGCUGGUUCUCUCCGAAAUAGCUUUAGGGCUAGCCUCAAGUGAUGAUUAUUGGAGGUAGAGCACUGUUUGGACGAGGGGCCCCUCUCGGGUUACCGAAUUCAGACAAACUCCGAAUGCCAAUUAAUUUAACUUGGGAGUCAGAACAUGGGUGAUAAGGUCCGUGUUCGAAAGGGAAACAGCCCAGACCACCAGCUAAGGUCCCAAAAUAUAUGUUAAGUGGAAAAGGAUGUGGCGUUGCCCAGACAACUAGGAUGUUGGCUUAGAAGCAGCCAUCAUUUAAAGAGUGCGUAAUAGCUCACUAGUCGAGUGACACUGCGCCGAAAAUGUACCGGGGCUAAACAUAUUACCGAAGCUGUGGAUUGUCCUUUGGACAAUGGUAGGAGAGCGUUCUAAGGGCGUUGAAGCAUGAUCGUAAGGACAUGUGGAGCGCUUAGAAGUGAGAAUGCCGGUGUGAGUAGCGAAAGACGGGUGAGAAUCCCGUCCACCGAUUGACUAAGGUUUCCAGAGGAAGGCUCGUCCGCUCUGGGUUAGUCGGGUCCUAAGCUGAGGCCGACAGGCGUAGGCGAUGGAUAACAGGUUGAUAUUCCUGUACCACCUAUAAUCGUUUUA
rnacentral:rRNA from 1 species